GACGAACGCUGGCGGCGUGCUUAACACAUGCAAGUCGAACGGAAAGGCCCUGCUUUUGUGGGGUGCUCGAGUGGCGAACGGGUGAGUAACACGUGAGUAACCUGCCCUUGACUUUGGGAUAACUUCAGGAAACUGGGGCUAAUACCGGAUAGGAGCUCCUGCUGCAUGGUGGGGGUUGGAAAGUUUCGGCGGUUGGGGAUGGACUAGCGGCUUAUCAGCUUGUUGGGGGGGUAGUUGCUUACCAAGUCUUUGACGGGUAGCCGGCCUGAGAGGGUGACCGGCCACAUGGGGACUGAGAUACGGCCCAGACUGCUACGGGAGGCAGCAGUGGGGAAUAUUGCAGAAUGGGCGGAAGCCUGAUGCAGAAACGCCGCGUGCGGGAUGACGGCCUUCGGGUUGUAAACCGCUUUCGCCUGUGACGAAGCGUGAGUGACGGUAAUGGGUAAAGAAGCACCGGCUAACUACGUG
rnacentral:rRNA from 1 species